CCGUCUAUAUACGUAUAGCAUAUCAAUAAGCGGAGGAAAAGAAACUAACUAGGAUUCCCUUCAGUAACGGCGAGUGAAGCGGGAAGAGCUCAAAUUUGAAAUCUUCAAGGUUCUACCUUGACGAAUUGUAGUUUAAAGAAGUGUUUUCUGUUGGAGUUUUGGUAAAAGUUCUUUGGAAUAGGACAUCAUAGAGGGUGAGAAUCCCGUAUUUGACCAUUAUUUCCAACUUUGUGAUACACUUUCAAAGAGUCGGAUUGUUUGGGAAUGCAGUCCAAAAUGGGUGGUAAAUUUCAUCUAAAGCUAAAUAUUGGCGAGAGACCGAUAGCGAACAAGUACCGUGAGGGAAAGAUGAAAAGAACUUUGAAAAGAGAGUUAAACAGUACGUGAAAUUGUCAAAAGGGAAGCGUUUGACACCAGUGUUGUUUUCUCGAAAAUCAAUUAAAAAUGGCUUGAUUUUGUGUUGUAUUGACCUUAAAAGCUUUCUUCACUUUUUUCAUGUCUUUUUUAAUGCACUUUUCGUUUAACAAGUCAGCAUCAGUUUCUUUUGUUGUAAAAAGGUCAUUGGAAGGUGGCUUUCUUUUCGGAGAAAGUGUUUAUAGCCUUUGACUUCUGCAGUCGGAGAGAUUGAGGUCUGCAGCGUAGAUCCUUCGGGGUUAGAUGCAUUUGUGCUAAGUUAUAGCCUUUCAUAGACAACUUGUUGACUAUGAUCAGUCAUGUAGCUUACUCGCUUAUGUCAUUUUACCUACGCUUAGGAUGUUGACGAUCAGCUGAGCGCG
rnacentral:rRNA from 1 species